rnacentral:rRNA from 1 species
GACGAACGCUGGCGGCGUGCUUAACACAUGCAAGUCGAGCGGUAAGGCCCUUUCGGGGGUACACGAGCGGCGAACGGGUGAGUAACACGUGGGUGACCUGCCCUCAGCUCUGGGAUAAGCCUGGGGAAACCGGGUCUAAUACCGGAUAUGACUCCAUGACGCAUGUUGUGGGGUGGAAAGCCUUGUGCGGCUGAGGAUGGGCCCGCGGCCUAUCAGCUUGUUGGUGGGGGAUGGCCUACCAAGGCGACGACGGGUAGCCGGCCUGAGAGGGCGGACCGGCCACACUGGGACUGAGACACGGCCCAGACUCCUACGGGAGGGCAGCAGUGGGGAAUCUUGCGCAAUGGGCGAAAGCCUGACGCAGCGACGCCGCGUGAGGGAUGACGGCCU